rnacentral:rRNA from 1 species
ACCUGGUCGAUCCUGCCGGACCCGACUGCUAUCAGAGUGGGACUAAGCCAUGCGAGUCAACAUAGCAAUAUGUGGCAUACGGCUCAGUAACACGUAGUCAACAUGCCCAGGGGACGUGGAUAACCUCGGGAAACUGAGGAUAAACCGCGAUAAGUCACUACUUCUGGAAUGGGUAAUGACUUAAAUCUAUAUGGCCCCUGGAUUGGACUGCGGCCGAUCAGGCUGUUGGUGAGGUAAUGGCCCACCAAACCUGUAACCGGUACGGGCUCUGAGAGGAGGAGCCCGGAGAUGGGCACUGAGACAAGGGCCCAGGCCCUAUGGGGCGCAGCAGGCGCGAAACCUCUGCAAUAGGCGAAAGCCUGACAGGGCUACUCUGAGUGAUUUCCGUUAAGGAGAUCUUUUGGCACCUCUAAAAAUGGUGCAGAAUAAGGGGUGGGCAAGUCUGGUGUCAGCCGCCGCGGUAAUACCAGCACCCCGAGUGGUCGGGACGUUUAUUGGGCCUAAAGCAUCCGUAGCCGGUUCUGCAAGUCUUCCGUUAAAUCCACCUGCUUAACAGAUGGGCCGCGGAAGAUACUAUAGAGCUAGGAGGCGGGAGAGGCAAGCGGUACUCGAUGGGUAGGGGUAAAAUCCGUUGAUCCAUUGAAGACCACCAGUGGCGAAGGCGGCUUGCCAGAACGCGCUCGACGGUGAGGGAUGAAAGCUGGGGGAGCAAACCGGAUUAGAUACCCGGGUAGUCCCAGCUGUAAACGAUGCAGACUCGGUGAUGAAUUGGCUUUAUGCCUAUUCAGUGCCGCAGGGAAGCCGUUAAGUUUGCCGCCUGGGGAGUACGGUCGCAAGACUGAAACUUAAAGGAAUUGGCGGGGGAGCACCACAAGGGGUGAAGCCUGCGGUUCAAUUGGAUUCAACGCCGGA